GGAAUACUGGAGUUCUUGGCCCAGUGACACUGAAGGGAGUUAACUCCGGAACAUGGGACAUGUCUCAAUGGAAAUGGUCUUACAAGGUCCUCCUGAAAUUCAAGAGAAACGAGUUUGACUUACCAAUAAUCAUAACAAUGAAAUAAACAUGUGUUCAUUUGUGUGUUUCAAGCAGAUUGGUACAAAGGGUGAAGCUCUGAGCAUUCAUACCGUAACCGGGAGUUCCACCGUGGAAUGGAAACAAGGAUCAUUGGUGGCCACAAAGCAACCUUUGACCUGGUACAAGGUAAGAGAAACAGAAUAAUCAAUGAAUCAUGCCCAUCAACAAAGUUAAUGAAAACGGAAAACCACAGGGCAGGAUUCUUACCAUCUCUUUUUGCAGUCUACUUUUGACACACCAGCAGGCAAUGAACCAUUGGCUUUAGACAUGAACACAAUGGGGAAAGGUCAAACAUGGAUAAACGG
rnacentral:lncRNA from 1 species